rnacentral:rRNA from 1 species
UAUAGUUUAUUUGAUGAUCAUCACUACAUGGAUAACCGUGGUAAUUCUAGAGCUAAUACAUGCACAAAUACCCAACUUUACGGAAGGGUUGUAUUUAUUAGAUUAAGAACCAACCCAUGCUUUGCAUGGUAAUUUGGUGAUUCAUAAUAACUGAACGAAUCGCACGGUUUAUCCAGCGAUAGAUCAUUCAAGUUUCUGACCUAUCAGCUUUCGACGGUAUAGUAUUGGCCUACCGUGGCUUUGACGGGUAACGGGGAAUUAGGAUUCGAUUCCGGAGAGGGAGCCUGAGAAACGGCUACCACA